UAAAGCUCAUUUGAAAAACCCCUUGGAGAAUUCUUGGACGUGUUUAGACCUGCUUAAAGAAAGUAAACCAGUGUGCAAAUAUUUUAACUUGAUUUUUUAGAAUUCUUAUCCCACAAAUCUUAGAAAAUAGUCAGAGCAAAGCAGAUGUUUUUUCCUCAGAAUUCACUGUAGAUUUUUACUUCCAUCAGAAAUGAAAUUUAUUCUGUAUUUUAUAGCUAUAAUUCUAUUGGGAACCAGUAGUCAAUCUAGUUUAGUUGGAUGGAUUUUAGGCAGGGAUAGCUCCCCUUUUAAUAUUUUGAAUAGCGAAAAACAAUUUGACAAGCUUAUGACUGCAACAACAACAAAUGAAGAACAUAAGAUUGAAACAUAUGACCCAAAAGAGAAUGCCAUAGAAGCAAGAUCUGAUAUUCCAUUUGAGCUUAGUGUCGCGGAUGAGAAAUUCAUUGCAGAUGCACAAAAAUACACUGAUCUAAGCCUAAGUGAGCUGGAUGUCUGCCAACAUAAAUUGAUCCUUCAAUUGAAGCAAGACUGUAAUGAUCUCUCAGAGGAAGAUCUGUCAAAGUUGGGAGUUAACCUUCUAAACUGCCAGUCAAGGCUCGAAGGAAGAAAGGUCUUCCCAUGCACAUCUUUAAUGUCUUUGAAAGAAUGUACUAGUGACAUGGAUUCAGAUACCUGGAAUGCCUACCAUAUUCUGUCAAACAGAGCAAGAUCAGUUUGCUAUGGAGCUCGACAGCAACAGUUUAGAGCACUGACUCAGAUGACUGUUAACAAACUCAUGGCCAGUUCAAGCCGGCAGUUGGGGUUUAUAAGAGAACUCAAGGCUGAGCAAGAGGAACUAGGAUCAUUGGCUGCAGAUACUUUGACUUCUUUAACCAAAGGUCAAGAGCAGCUGUUGGAGCAGCAAGAGUAUCUAAAGGCCACCCAGCAGAUAGCUUCACAGCAAUUAAGCAGCACUAUUAGAGAAAUGUCAAGAGAGCGCGCUGCUGCCUAUGCAGGUCAACGACAACUUUCGGCCUUAAGUGAUUCGUUAAAAGAAACUUUGAAUCAAGCAGCUCAGUUGGCCAUGGAGCAAGAAAACGAUCGAAAGAUAGCACAGGAGCACCUCCUGAAUUCUUUGAUGAAUCUCGAAGGACACGUAGGCGAAGUUUGGAACCAAUUAGAGGAAAGUGUCAAUAAAUUACUAAAUCAACAAGAUCACGCAGCUCAAAUGCAAACAGAAACUAUAGAAACGCUACAGCGACUAAAUCAUACUUUCCAAUUUUUGUUGAGCGUCUCUGAGAACAGUCGUGAACAACUGAAUUGGAUUCAAAGCUUGGUUGUUAAUACAGAAAAAAAGGUCGGAAAGUUGUCAACCUGGGUUCUCCACGUCUGCUAUUUCCUGUUGGGGAUGCUGUUGUUAGCAUUCGUACAAGCCCCAUCGUACAUGCGGUGGAUAUUUUUGUUCUUGGUCCCUAUUAAUUUAUCAAUGGACCUUCAGCAAGGUGUCGCAAUGGAUGCUCCGGCUCUCGUAGGCCUCCUUUUUGUCGUUUCUACUGGUUAUCGAGUGUUCUUGUAUUUGAAAUCCCGCUGCAGUCCUAUUACGCGCGCUAUUGAUAAGCCUCAGGAGAUCGAGUACCGUUCUUCGACUCCCGCUGCGAAGGUUUUUGUGACGAGCGUUUCGGACAAUACGGUGGAUGACCUUCUCGAGGGUUGCACUCUGCUGAAUGACUCAUUCGAUGGAGAUCGUAGCAGCACGCCGCUGCCUUCGCCUUCGUUUGAAAUGUUCAUGUCACAACAGAAACACAAAAGCGUUCGGUCACUUCUACAAGACAGCAAACUUGGUGAUAUAAGCUUGGGAAGCGCUGUUCACCGUCGGAGUCCUAGGAGAGCAAACACUUCGAAUUCGUUCAGAGAGCUCUCCCCUACCCGAUCAGUGGCUUCGAACAUGUCGAUCAAUCAGUCGAGAAGUGGCACACCGCGUCGACCGGCCACUCCUCGCCGCACUUGCUCUGGAACAUGCGUAGACGGUUCUAGUUGCCGCAACGCGUGCAUGAAGGAUUCUGUAUUUUGCUGGCAGCACAAAUGAAAUUUUACUUCUUCAAUAACUUGGAUUCAAUAUGUUUGCUUAUCAAAGCAACGACGAAGGAUGGCAUCUGCACCUCCAAUUCAAGUUGUCUAGGUAACAUUUGCGUUGCCUAGGCAGCAUUUACGCUUGACAGCUGAGGAAAAUUCGUGGCUGCGCCAGAUGUACAUGAUUGGAUUAUAAACGGUGUGAACGAGCACAAGUUCCCGAAAAUAUGGAAUCAUCCAAGUUACGGCCGUGCAAUCGUCAUAGACGUGACUGCAAUAGAAUGCUCCUAGCCAAACAAUAAAUAUGGGUGAAGAAAUGAUAGCUAGUGAUGUAACACCUUGCGCUAAUGUCCACGUGGCUUCUAUUUCGAGUUUACUAAUUGCAUUGCUGCCGACGUGAACGAAAAAUUCUGGUGAUUUUGCCGUUGAUUGUUCGAGGACGUUUUUCGGCCGAUCGGCUUGUGAUAGUGACCCUAUCGAUUGACAUCGGCCUUCCCUCUGUUGAAGGAAGUACGUUUUUGUCUUCAAAUAAAUGACGAUCUGAGCGAUGAAGCAGCUAGUAACGAGCACAGUCAGUGUAAGGACGAUGAUUUUUCCAUGCGGCUCAUUUUUAUGGCAACUGACGUUUUUCCGAAUUCCGUCCCAGAAAUGCGAUGCUUUAAAGAGGAUGGAAAGAAGGACAACUCCCGUUAACUGCCCAGCGAUGAUGAGUUUGACGGACACUUGAUUUUUGUGCCAAAGAGGGAAGGUGAUGGCGAUGAAGCGAUCAAUCAAACCCAGCAGUAGAUUUAAUAGCAAACUGGCGUAUGGGAUGCCAACCAAAAGGGAAAAUAUCCAGCAGGCCGUUUUGCUUUCGGGCAUCAGGUAGAAAACGAUGAGUUCGUUGACGCUUACCACCUGGGCAAAUAAAUUGGAAAAGGUUACACCUAACCAAGCGAUGUGACGAGGCUUGUGCAAUCGCCGUUGCACGAUUAUGACGACGGCGAUCAACAGGUUGAGUGGCGCACCGACCGAAACACAACUGAUGAUGGCCAACGGCAGGAACGCUAAGACGCUAACCGGUUCCGUCUUGUUCGUUCCGUUCGACACGAUUUCGCUUGAAGCAAAGAUGGACGACAUGCUCGUAGCGAUUUACAUUGAUAAAUGGCCCUUCAUCACUGACUUGUCGAAUUAAUAUGUAUCUCUCGUGGAAAGAGUGUAUUCGAAGUACUCGAGCGCUUGCGCAAUUUGUCUUCAUUUUGAACGACCAUUUCUUGAAUCUUUUAUCUCUGUUGUGCUCACGCAUUGUUGUUGCUCUUAGAUGUGCCCAGGACUUUGUAAAAGGCUUAUUCUUAAUUUUAAACAAUUAAUUCCCAGUUUUCUUUUCCCUCCGGUUUUUAUCGCGUUGCUAAUCCUAUUCGCAAUGGGAAAGUUUGAGCAGAACUAAGCUGCAUUUUUCGGCAUGCCUGUAAAGAUGCGCUAUCCGACGUUUUGUGUGCUGUAAUCUCAGCGGAUCAGUAUUUGUAUCACUGGAGAUGGGGAAUCGUGUAUUGUCAUGGCAACAAAUCCCACCAACAACAAUUUGAGAAUAAAAAAAAAAACAAAAAAACCAAACGA